AAAAGGAUAUGAAGCCUUCCCAAGGGAGGCUGGAUCUGACCUGUGAUGAACCAGAAGCAUGUGACAAUGAUAUGGUCAGUAAUGUCCACCUUGGUUCUCUUUGGGACUUGUCUUGAGAUGGACGAGACUUUCAGUUUCGACUUUGUUGGAGUCUCUGCUCUGGUUGUUUGGGAACGUAUGGGGCGUUACAGCAGUAACUCACAGCUGUCCACGUGGAGUAGUGUGGGAUGGAAAAUUGAGAUGAGAGCUGGUAGGGAAUAUCUUGAACGACUGUGGAGCUUAGUGGAAGCUGUUUGCUGCACAUAAAUAGAAUAGGAGGAAGGGGACAAGGAUUGAAUGAGGAGGUAGAAAAGAAAUAUGUGUGGGUAAGUGACCCAGAAAAAUGAAUUCCUGGUAGCAAAGGACACAUGCAUAGUAACUGACCUUGAAGUUUGUCUAACUCACUGAGACUGAUCAUGAAUGUCUUUUUGGAUCAACUUUGCUAUGGGGUUGCCAUGUUCCCAAGUGCUGGUGUUAGUCAGCUUUUCAUCAUUGUGACCAAAAUACCUGACAAGAACAACUUAGAGGUGCUAAAGUUUAUUUUGACUCAUGGUUUCAGAGGUUCAGUCCAUGGUCAGCCUGCUUUAUUGCUCUGUGCCCAAAUGAAGCAGAACAUCAUGGCUGAAGGGUGAGGAGUUGGAGAGGGAGGAGCACUGGUCACUAUAGGGAAGUCAGGAAGGAGAGAGAGAGGGGGUUGGGUGAGGUCAGGAAGCAGCUGCAGCAAAAAUGCAUACUUCCCAGGCAUUCCCCCAAAGACGCACCUCCAGACACAGCCCAUGUAACUAGGGUUACCACCCAGUUGGUCCACUCAAACUAUCAAUCCACUGAUUAGGUUACAGCUCUUAUACUCUAGUUAUUUCCUCUCCUGCAUUUACACCGGAGCUUUGGGGGACACUUCAGAGCCAAGCCAUAAUAGCUGGUAAACUACUUCAUAACAGCCCUCUUUUUUUUUAUGCCUAGCCAGUCAUUUUCAGAGCUAUCUGUUUGCCUUAGUUCCUGGAAUGUCUGAAGUAUUUCAUAAUCAUUUCUUGAAUACAUGAAUACUUUAAGUAUUUUACACUGCAUUUGGCAAUUGGGUUACAUAGGUGGAUAGAACCACAUCACAGAGAAAAGAAGAGGUUAGACAGAAAAGUCUUACAAGAGUCAUGGUACUUACUAGCUGGGUAGAUGGUGUACACCUGUAAACUCAGCAGCAACAGAGGCUGAGGCAGGAGGAUUGCAAGUUCAAAGCCAGCCUAAGCAACUUAGCAAGGCCCUAAGCAACUCAUGGAAAUCCUGUCUCUAAAUAAAAUAUAAAAAGGCUGGGGAUGUGGCUCAGUGGUAAAGCACCCCUGGGUUCAAUCCCUGACACACACACACACACACACACACACAAGUCAUGGUAUAAUGGAAAGAAGAGAGCAGAGAAGUACACAGGACACAUGUAUUUUUUGGCCUGGUUGUGACACCAAUAGGCUUUGUGACUUUAGGUGAUAUAAUUACUUCAGUUCUCCUUUGGAAAGUCAGGGAGCUUUAGUUGAAAAGAAAUAUUAAAUAUUUUAUUUGAAAAUGAAUAUAAAAUAAAUAAUAAUAAAAUUUAAAAAGCUUUUGAAAUGAUACUUGAUAUAUACUGAGUUGAAGGGUAGGAAGUCAAGUGGAAUUAGUUAUAUAUGGGUACUCUCUAAAAAGAGACAAUCAGUUGUUCACUGGAAAAUGUUUCUUUUUUUUCUUAAUUCUUCUUUUUUUUAGUUGUAGAUGGACACAAUACUUUUAUUUUAUUUAUUUUUGUGUGGUGCUGAGAAUUGAACCCAGUGCCUCACAAAUGUGAGAGGAGCACUCUACCACAGCCACAGCCCUGGAGAAUGUUUCUUUUACAUCAAUUUUUCCCAUGUUGAAAUUGGUUCUGCUGGCAUCAUACACCUGAGAGGCAGUUGGCACAUGGGAAACAUCGGAGUUUUUGGAGACAAUCUUGGAUUCUAUACUUUAGACAUGUUGAGGCACACCAAGUAUGAGAAGAAAAGUGAUUAUUGGACUGAUAUGAGGAUGAUCACUCUGGGGGAAUGAGGAAUGAAUUUUAGCCACUUAGAAUUAGUGCUCCCUCCAAAAGGCGUCUGAGGGAUCUGCUUUUUUUUUUUUUUUUUUUGCAGAGAAAAGAGAAAAAUCCAUUAUUUUGUACAAUUAAUAUGCAUUAAUAAUCAUAAUAAGAAAGAAAAAAAUUUACAGCGCAGAAAUAUUUCCCACUAGAUGGGGAAAAACACUCCAAGUUUGCACAUUUAAAUCUACUGAACAUGAAAUACAAGCUCAGUACCUUUUUUUGGGUAAUGUUUUAAGAUUUUUAGUAAAUAAGAGAGCUCUCUUAAAAAAAUGAAAAGAAAAAAAAGGAGUUAUAGAAAACUGUGUUGUUAGGAUUGCAUUAGCUGACAAGAAUAACACAUGAUAUUGAUUGGGGGUUGGUUGCUAAUGUUAUACAUCCCCAGAUAAGAAUUGCCAUAUAAAAGGUUUUCUCAGAGGUUAUUAAUUUUAUGGCAUUAGGGAGCCUGCAGAAAUCUGAGCAUGAGGUCAGAACGAUGCAGAUAUAUGUGGUUUUAUGCUGCAUGGUUCCCUGAGCUAAAGAAUUCUGUAACCUCAUUUCAACUCUGUGUGUGAGCAAGUGACAUUCCGAGUCCUCUCUCAGACAUGUGCCUGGGUAAAUUAUUUACAUUCUUAAAGUUUCAGUUCCUUAUACAGAAUUUCUGUAUAAUAAUGCCUGAAUGGCAACUGUGCUGUAAGGAUUUGAGAUCAGACUUGUGACAUCUUUCAUCCAGUUAGUUUAGCACAUACAAGAAAUUAAAUAAUUGGUAGAUAUUAAUUUUGGUUGUGCAGAAAGCAAUCCCCCUGCUAACAAAGUUUUUUUUUUUUUCUACCAGGAACUUCUCAUCUUUUUAACUGCAUUAAUAAUAGCACCACUGGAGAGGGGUAUGUCAACUGGUCCUAGUUUAAGGAGGUGAAAUUGACAGUAAAGUGGCAACUCUGCCAGAAACAUGUAGCAAUUAAGUGGCAAUUUGGUGUUCCCCAUAUUGUUAUAAUAAUGUCACUGAAGGUGAGCUCAAGAAAUAAAGUUGAAACUUAUUUUAGAUAAAUGUUUUACCGA
rnacentral:lncRNA from 1 species